ACAAAUAAUGGGAUUUAACGAUAUAGAGGAUGAAUGAUUAUUAAU
rnacentral:guide_RNA from 1 species